UGUGAGCUGCCCUUUGCAGAGCCUGCCCAGGGCCAGGUGUCCUCGUCUCUUACUGCACUUCCAGCGACCGAGCAGGCAGGUGAUUCCAUGUACUCAGUGCACUACACACAAGUCUUAGAGUGCCACAGGACACCGGAAGAGGCUGUCUGUCAGAAACCAGCCUUAGAGGUGGCUACGGACCAUCAUGUGUGUGCUGCAAACCAAGCCUGGACUGGUGACCUGGACUGCUGGAAGAAAGCUAAGCAAACCCGGAAGAGCAAGCCGGAAGAGCGGAGGGCCUCUGGUUCAGUUCCUGUCUCUGGGUUCCUACUCUGACUUCCUUGGAUGAUGGACUACAGGUCAUAAGCUGAAAUAAACCAUUUCCUCCCCA